CAGUAGCCGCGGUAAUACGCAGGGUGCAAGCGUUAAUCGGAAUUACUGGGCGUAAAGCGUGCGCAGGCGGCUUUGCAAGACAGAUGUGAAAUCCCCGGGCUCAACCUGGGAACUGCAUUUGUGACUGCAUGGCUAGAGUACGGUAGAGGGGGAUGGAAUUCCGCGUGUAGCAGUGAAAUGCGUAGAUAUGCGGAGGAACACCGAUGGCGAAGGCAAUCCCCUGGACCUGUACUGACGCUCAUGCACGAAAGCGUGGGGAGCAAACAGGAUUAGAUACCCCCGUAGUCCCUGUCUCUUAUAC
rnacentral:rRNA from 1 species